GGGUGAAUAGUUUAAAUGGGAGAACAUAGGAAGCUUGGUAGAUUCUAAGGUGGUAGAUCGAAACUACCUUCACUCA